UACAGAGGGGGCAAGCGUUGUUCGGAAUUACUGGGCGUAAAGGGCGCGUAGGCGGCCCGCUAAGUCGAACGUGAAAUCCCCGAGCUCAACUCGGGAACUGCGUCCGAUACUGGUGGGCUUGAAUCCGGGAGAGGGAUGCGGAAUUCCAGGUGUAGCGGUGAAAUGCGUAGAUAUCUGGAAGAACACCAGUGGCGAAGGCGGUCAACUGGCCCGAGACUGACGCUGAGGCACGAAAGCGUGGGGAGCGAACAGG
rnacentral:rRNA from 1 species